UGUAGAUGUAUAUAAUGACCAGACUAGGUCUAUACUGCUCCUACAUGGUGUAACAAUACAUCAUAUAGAUGUAUAUAAUGACCAGACUAGGUCUAUACUGCUCCUACAUGGUGUAACAUCAUGUAGAUGUAUAUAAUGACCAGACUAGGUCUAUACUGCUCCUACAUGGUGUAACAAUACAUCAUGUAGAUGUAUAUAAUGACCAGACUAGGUCUAUACUGCUCCUACAUGGUGUAACAAUACAUCAUAUAGAUGUAUAUAAUGAACAGACUAGGUCUAUACUGCUCCUACAUGGUGUAACAAUACAUCAUGUAGAUGUAUAUAAUGAACAGACUAGGUCUAUACUGCUCCUACAUGGUGUAACAAUACAUCAUGUAGAUGUAUAUAAUGAACAGACUAGG
ensembl:lncRNA